GGGGGCGAAACGGUUUCGACGGGGGUGUAGAAGCAAGAUAAGCGAGUCGUAGUCGCCAAGUCUACGUUAAAAAUGGCCGUUAAAUAUAAACGCUAAAAAUAACAAUAAUUUCGCAUUUGCUGCCUAAUUUCGUAGCGCGCGUGUCAACUCCGGUUUACCUGUAGGCCGGAUGAUUGGCAUCGACUAUACAGGAAAACCUUGCGAGAGUUUCCGGUAUCGUUAAGGGACUAACGGAAUAGCACCUUUCGUAGCUUGUUAAUGGGCGACUUAAGGGGCGAAAUAUAAAUCAUUAACUGCACUCGGAGAAAGUUUUGUGGAAAUGCUUUCGGACGUGAGUUCGAAUCUCACCGCCUUCACCA
rnacentral:tmRNA from 1 species